AAAAAAUUAUAUACAUAUAUACUGCAUAUAUAUUUAGGUUAAACAUCCUUGAUGUAUGAAACCUCACAUAAAAUCAGACUGCAGUCUUUUAUUAUUGCCAGAGACCCAAUUUUUUUUUCUACUAAAUGCAUUAUUGGGAAAGAUCAGUGGUGUGGCCUAAAUUGUCCACAUUUAAGCAAGUGUAUGCUGUAUGCCUUUCACUUAUCUAGUGUCCAUGUGACAGGUGUGGCCUAAAUUGUCUGGGAGGUAUUUUAUAUCCCUGUUACUUGUAUAGUGCCCAUGUGAUAGUUCUAUAAUAAUAGAUAAUAAAUGUAUAGUGUAGUGUAGGUUAAAUAUCCUUGAUUUAUGAAAUUUCACCUAAAUUGGGACUGCAGCCUUUUUUAUUGCCAAAGACCCUCUUUCUUAAUACUGGAGGUGAACAGGGAAAAUCAGGGUUGUGUGGCCUAAAUUUCCACUUUUAAAUAUUCAAAUGAUGGAAUUAUAUGCCAUUUCCCAAACUAUGGUUGUUUUUUAUAGGACCUGACUAACAGUGCUACAGAGGAUAUGACUUGCAAUAAGAGCUGCAGAGUGCUGGGUCCUGCCUUCAGAAGUUAAGAAAGGAGAGGACUUGUAAAGGACAGAUAUCCUUUUCUUUCUUUUUAUAAAAAAAAUAAUUGGUCUUGGCACCCCCCACAGUAAAUCCUGGUUUCCUUGUCCUUUAAGAAUAAGCGGUUUUGGAACGUAUUAAAAAAAAAAUAACAUUUUUCAUUUUAAUUUGUUGUCUGAUUUAUUGUACACAGGACCUGGCAGUGUGAGCUGCAGAAUGCUGGAGUUUCUGGUAAAGAGAUUUGCAGUGUCCUCGGUCCCCCCUUGAGAGAUGAAGAAAGUUAUAGGACUGCUAAAGGACAACAAGACUGUCAAUGGUAAAGGACUUGAAAAUGAGAGCUACAGAGGGCUGCAAUUUCUAGCAAAGAGUUUUGCAGUGUAUUGGGUCGUGCCUUGAGAGGUGAAGCAAGAAAGAGAACUGCUGAAGGGCAACAAGACUUUCAAGCAAAGGACCCAGCAAUAAGUGCUGCAGAGCAUUGGAGUUUCCAGCAAAUAGAUUUGCAUUGCGCUGGGUCCUGCCUUGAGAGGUGAAAGAAAGAAGAGGACUGCCAAGGAAAAAAAAGACUUUCAAGUGAAGGUAAAUAGAACUUAAAUUACUGUGGGUAGGCAGCCUUCAGUGAAUCUAUUCGCUAAGUGAGUUUACCAGGCGGCAUGUAUGAGUGUAUAUCUAAAGUAGGACAAGAACAGUAAGUGAGUUGACACUGUAGCAUGGCAUUUGUUUCCCUUGGUUGGUUCUGAUUUAUUGUAAAAAGAACCAGACAUCAAGAGCAGCAGAUGAUCAGAGUUUCCAUGUGAUUUGCCCUAAGCUGGGUCCUGCCUUGAGAGUGGAAGAAAGGAAGAGGGCUGCUAAAGGACAGAAAGACUUUCAAGCUCCGAUAAAGAGAUUUUGAAUUGAAAAUUUGUUAGGAAUAGUAUGUUCCGUAAUAUACUAAAUGGUAUUUAAAGGUGAACCUGGCACCUGGCAAUAAUAGUUCUUCCCUGCAGAUUAUUAUUAUUAUUAUUAACAUUUAUUUAUAAA